UGGGGAAUUUUGGACAAUGGGCGAAAGCCUGAUCCAGCAAUGCCGCGUGUGUGAAGAAGGCCUUCGGGUUGUAAAGCACUUUUGUCCGGAAAGAAAUCCUUGGCUCUAAUACAGUCGGGGGAUGACGGUACCGGAAGAAUAAGCACCGGCUAAUCACGUGCCAGCAGCCGCGGUAAUACGUAGGGUGCAAGCGUUAAUCGGAAUUACUGGGCGUAAAGCGUGCGCAGGCGGUUUGCUAAGACCGAUGUGAAAUCCCCGGGCUCAACCUGGGAACUGCAUUGGUGGCUGGCAGGCUAGAGUAUGGCAGAGGGGGGUAGAAUUCCACGUGUAGCAGUGAAAUGCGUAGAGAUGUGGAGGAAUACCGAUGGCGAAGGCAGCCCCCUGGGCCAAUACUGACGCUCAUGCACGAAA
rnacentral:rRNA from 1 species